rnacentral:rRNA from 1 species
AACGAACGCUGGCGGCGUGCCUAACACAUGCAAGUCGAGGGAGAACAGUGGCUUCGGCUACUUAGUAAACCGGCGCACGGGUGAGUAACACGUAGGUAACGUACCCUGGAGUCCGGGAUAACCAGUCGAAAGAUUGGCUAAUACCGGAUACGACUACGAAGGCUCUGGCUUUUGUAGUGAAAGACGGCCUCUGUUUACAUGCUGUCACUCCUGGAUCGGCCUGCGCACCAUUAGCUAGUUGGUGAGGUAACGGCUCACCAAGGCUGAGAUGGUUAGCUGGUCUGAGAGGAUGGCCAGCCACACUGGGACUGAGACACGGCCCAGACUCCUACGGGAGGCUG